rnacentral:rRNA from 1 species
GACGAACGCUGGCGGCGUGCUUAACACAUGCAAGUCGAACGGUGAAAGCGGAGCUUGCUCCGCUGGAUCAGUGGCGAACGGGUGAGUAACACGUGGGCAACCUGCCCCUCACUUCGGGAUAACUCCGGGAAACCGGGGCUAAUACCGGAUAUGACCUCCUUGGGCAUCCUUGGAGGUGGGAAGUUUUUCGGUGAGGGAUGGGCCCGCGGCCUAUCAGCUUGUUGGUGAGGUAGUGGCUCACCAAGGCGACGACGGGUAGCCGGCCUGAGAGGGUGAUCGGCCACACUGGGACUGAGACACGGCCCAGACUCCUACGGGAGGCAGCAGUAGGGAAUCUUCCGCAAUGGACGAAAGUCUGACGGAGCAACGCCGCGUGAGUGAUGAAGGCUUUCGGGUCGUAAAACUCUGUUGUUAGGGAAGAACAAGUGCUAGUUGAAUAAGCUGGCACCUUGACGGUACCUAACCAGAAAGCCACGGCUAACUACGUGCCAGCCGCCGCCGUAA